CCUCCAGUGGGAGCUUUGUUUACACUCCUUUCCACCCCAUUCCUGUCCCCCUUCCCAUAAGAGAAACUUCAAAAUGCUGGCGCUUUGGAGAAUAAGAAAAUCAGUCUGAAAAGACAAAACAAGGCCUGCUGUGGCGUAUAAAGCCCCAGGAGUUCCUGUGAGCGGCCCCUGUGCUCUGCUGCGCUUUUGUGAUGAGUGGGAGACGUCAGGCAGGCCGGGUGCCCCCAAGGGGCUUUCUGAGAUGUGACCAGCAGCUUACACACCUGCUGUCGCCUCCAGGGUGGCCAGCCGCCUUCCAGCAGGAAACACUAGGUCUCAGUGAGAAGGGACUGGAGGCAGCAGGGUCCCUGGCACUGCCCAGGGUCCCAGAGCCACUGCAGGAGGGGUCAGCAGUUACCCAGACCCCAUGCUUUUGUGACCUGACUCUCCUGUUUCCUGCCUUCAGGACCUGCCACCACUGUCUUUUCUAGAAGUCAGUCCUAAAGGUUUCUCUGCUGUGGCUGAGAUGAAAACUUGGACUCUCAGAGGACAGCACCCAAAACUGAAGAGAUCUUGAGAGUUGAGGUUGCGGAGCGUUGGGAGACGCUGAAGUAUUACUCGUUUCUGUAGCGUUGACAUCCUGAAAUUAAAAAGGCUGGAAAGGCUCAGCCAGACCCACUCCAGAAUGUUCCUUGCCGGGAGCUGAGCCCAGCCAACCCACGACACAAAGUGGGUUCAUUCGUUUGCUGAUUCUGUCACGCCACGACUGAAACACCACGUUCUGUUCCUUUUCCAGGUUUCAGUUUAUUGUGUAAAUGGCUUUUUUUUUCCUGUUGUGAGCGUUGGUGAUUGUGUCAGGGUUCCUUUGGAGAGACAGUCACACCCAUGGUCUGAGAAACAGACCCAGAGGAGAGUGUGGUCUGGCCCGUGUCACCCUGAGCACAGCGCCCGAUGCUCUGUUUCCAAGCACGUUCCCACCAGCUGUAUCCAACACUACAUUGCAUUUUUAAAACUAUAUUUGCAGCCAAGACAAUAAAGAAACCUUAUUUUUUUGAAAAGCC